UACGUAGGGAGCAAGCGUUGUCCGGAAUCAUUGGGCGUAAAGGGCGCGUAGGUGGCCUGCUAAGCGUGCGGUGAAAGUCGGGGGCUCAACCCCCGAUCGGCCGUGCGAACUGGGAGGCUUGAGCACUGUAGAGGCAGGCGGAAUUCCGGGUGUAGCGGUGGAAUGCGUAGAGAUCCGGAAGAACACCGGUGGCGAAGGCGGCCUGCUGGGCAGUUUUGCUGACACUGAGGCGCGACAGCGUGGGGAGCAAACAGG
rnacentral:rRNA from 1 species